rnacentral:rRNA from 1 species
AGUGAACGCUGGCGGUAGGCCUAACACAUGCAAGUCGAACGGCAGCACAGUAAGAGCUUGCUCUUACGGGUGGCGAGUGGCGGACGGGUGAGGAAUACAUCGGAAUCUACUUUUUCGGGGGGGAUAACGUAGGGAAACUUACGCUAAUACCGCAUACGACCUACGGGUGAAAGCAGGGGAUCUUCGGACCUUGCGCGAUUGAAUGAGCCGAUGUCGGAUUAGCUAGUUGGCGGGGUAAAGGCCCACCAAGGCGACGAUCCGUAGCUGGUCUGAGAGGAUGGUCAGCCACACUGGAACUGAGACACGGUCCAGACUCCUACGGGAGGCAGCAGUGGGGAAUAUUGGACAAUGGGCGCAAGCCUGAUCCAGCCAUACCGCGUGGGUGAAGAAGGCCUUCGGGUUGUAAAGCCCUUUUGUUGGGAAAGAAAAGCAGCAGGUUAAUACCCCGCUGUUCUGACGGUACCCAAAGAAUAAGCACCGGCUAACUUCGUG